ACUGCCGGCAGGGUAGGGAUCACCGGGGGGACACCCCGCCCAGGGGUGGGGGACACCUCCAAAGGAGACCCCAACACCCUCCAGGGACAGGUCAUGCCCCCCCGCCCCCCAAAAGGGCCCGGGGUAAAACCUGAGCCACCCCAGGGACGGGGACCACCCCCCACCAGAGAGGGCAGGAACCACCCUGAGGGUACCCCUGGAGAUAGGGGCCCAGGGGGCACCCCGAGACCCCCGCAUCUCAGGGACGGUGCACCUCCAGAACGGGCAGCGUCACCCUGAGACGCUCCCCCCACGAAGGGAACACCCCGGGAAUGAGAAUGGGGAGUCACCUUGGCCAGGCGGGAUAAGUUUGGGUUCACGUUCUCCUUCUGCGCCAUCCUGGGGACAGAGGGCACAGCGUCACCACGAGACCCCGCAGAGCGCGCGCCGCGCCGCGCGUCCUUACCCGCCGCCCCGGCUCGCGGGCUCUGCCCCGUGCGCCGCCGCCGCGUUUCAAACCUGCCACUCUCUCUCCCAUUGGCUGACACUUGCCGCGCGCCGCUCGUCCAUUUGCCUCUGGUGGGGAUAGUUCCACCCCUACCCACAAGCCCCCUCCAGCAGCUCUUAUGCCGUUUCUCAUUGGUCGGCGCUGCCGCUCGCCAGGCUGGUGGGGGCGGGAGCUUAGCGCUGGUUAGAGAGCAUGCGGUGGGGCGUUGGUCAGUCGGCGCGGGGGGCGGCUGAGAGCGGCCGCUGGUGGCGCGAGAGCGGCAAGUGAGAGGAGGGAGGUGGGGUGGCUCCUGGAGGCUCGGUGGCGGAAACGGGCGGUGGUGAAAGCAGACCUGCUGAGCAAAGCCUACCUGUGAGCUACAGCGUGGGACUGGCACCUCAGGGCUGCACUUGUAGCUUUGUCCGAGAGAAACUGAGGCAGCGCGGUGACGUGAGGCCCGGUGAGGGGUCACAAUUAGGUGUUGAUUCAGGAGGCUAUUGACCCUGCUGGAGGAAAGCUGUAAAUAAAGUGAAACUGAUGAUUUGUGAAGUACUGCGACAAUGACUGCAUCUCCAGUUUCCAGUAAGUUGUUCUGAGUAGCAUUUGUGAAAUGUAUAACAGGAAGGCCUAAUUGCAGGAAUUGAAAACUGACUAAAGGAGGUUAAUACAUUUUUUAAUAGCCAAAAGAAAAUUAGGCAUCUUUUUUUAGUAAAAAUUAAAUAAUUUCUUAGCUUUUAUGUAAUACAAAUUAAGAUAAAUCAGUCUUUAUUGUCUGAAAGAUCAUUUUGAAAAAGGUUCUUAAGCAGCACUCAUGGCCGUGCUCAGCUGUGCUGAUAAUGCAGAUAAACCUGUAUGGAUCACUGAGUCAGCUGUGUGAGCACACGGGUCAGCGAUGAGACGUGGCUGCUGGUUCCCGUGACACAGACGCUGCUCGAGCCAGGUGCAGGUUUUUCGUGCAGAUGUUCAGUGUUCCCUCUGAACCGCACCGGACAGAAAAUUAUUUACGUCCUUGCAGAGCAUCAGCCAGAGCAGUGUCUGGAAGCCCCUUCUGUGGGCGCUUCUCACCUGGGCCCGUGCUUUUCUGCUGGCCUGUGAACGCAAGGAACAGCAAUGUGGUGAAGAACUGAUUCCUGUGAAGUUUUCUCAGGGUCCUGUCUUACGGAUUAAAAGGUAGCCCUGCUGUUAUCUGUCACCUUAAAUCACACGUCUUACAAGGUGGACCAAAAUGACCCUCUACUCUGUCCUGGGGAGACCACACCUGGAAUAUUGUGUCCAGCUGUGGCCCCUCAGUUCCAGCAGGACAGGGAACUGCUGGAGAGAGUCCAGCGCAGCCACCAAGAUGCUGGAGGGAGUGGAGCAUCUCCCGUGUGAGGAAAGGCUGAGGGAGCUGGGGCUCUGGAGCUGGACAAGAGGACACUGAGGGGGGACUCAUUCCUGGGGAUCAAUAUGGAAAGGGGGAGUGUCAGGAGGAUGGAGCCAGGCUCUUCUGGUGACAACCAGUGACAGGACAAGGGGCAAUGGGUGCAAACUGGAACACAGGAGGUUCUGCUUAAAUAUGAGAAGCAACUCCUUCCCGGUGAGGGUGGCAGAGCCUGGCCCAGGCUGCCCAGGGGGUUGUGGAGUCUCCUUCUGUGCAGACAUUCCAACCCGCCUGGACACCUUCCUGUGUAACCUCAUCUGGGUGUUCCUGCUCCAUGGGGGGAUUGCACUGGGUGAGCUUGCCAGGGCCCUUCAACCCCUGACAUUCUGGGAUUCUGUGAAAUGCAGAUAAAAGUAUUUAUUCAUAAAAGCAUAAAUAGACAAUAAAACUAUAAAUGCUUAUAACAACAUAGCUUUGUUGAAGUACAAGCAAUAGUUGGUGUGUUGAUGUUAAGGCUUCAGCAGGAAGGCAUUUUCUCCCUCAGCCGCAGGUUCAGGCUGUGAGCGCCUCGUGCCCCGUGUUGAGCUACCGAGUGUUCUUUCGGUUCAUGUUCCUUACAACCCCCUCUUUCCUCCUCAGGAUCUAUAGAGAAUUUCCCCUUUGAAGUCUUCUGGGAGCUGCAGACAAAUACAAUCUUUGCCUUGAAAAUCACUCCAAUACUUUUAACGAGGAGAUAGUUGUGAUUAACUGAACUGAGGUUUCUCUUCCUUCGGUGCACCCAUGUGUGUUCUUAACUAGUUUGUAAACAAAAAUCGCUGGACGGUAUACAAGCUCUCUUCCUCCCCCUAGUGACUACUAACGUUUCAGAGAGAGAUUUUUUCAUCAGACCUUGUCUUGUAUAUUGAUCUGUACAUUGACACAUGCACUACAAAUAUCAAACCAAGAUAAAUACGUGUAGCUCACUACUGGAUCUGGGUUGAGACACAGCAGUAACCGCUGUGAGCCUGAGGCAGCGGAACCUCAGCUUUUUUCUGCUAAGCGUAUUGUGACCGUUCCAUUAUAAGCUGCAUUUGUCUGCUGUACCUGAGUAGGAUAUUUCUGCCAAUGCGUUGGAGGCUUCUGCUUGCCUGUGUUUGUGCUGGUGUGCCGGCGUCAUAGGGACUUACAACUGUCACCGCUCCGUGUCUUCUCGCAGGCUGACGUACCUGCUUAGUCAAUGACUUGUCUAAUGCCAGGUAAAGAAAUCAGGUGCAGGCUCCAGCAGGAUUGUAGUAAAUGCAGAAAAAUCUCUUUAAUGACACAUCAGAAAGCUGAGUGUUUGUUGCUCCCAGCUUUCAUUGCGGAGAUCUGUAACACGAAGGAAGGAUCAGGUGUGUGACUAAAGCUGGCUGGAUGUCUUCGUGUAUACACAGAACCGUGCACACCAGACUGGUAACUGCACUGUUCUCACUCGCAACUGGCCGCAAUAUAGCAGAGCAUGUCAUUCAUGCAACAGACUGUUAAUUCAAGUGCUAACUCCGUUGCUUUUAUUAAAUGCUGGAUUGACCUAUUCAGUAUGUUCCACUCUCCAGACAAGUUUUCAUUGCAAAACGUCCCCAGCUGUCACGUCCCGCCAGAGGUGUGUGUGGAGAGGUGACUCAGAUUCACGGUCCCCUUAGAAAAGAGUAUAUGGGGUACUCAAGGACGGUAUACAAACAAACCCCAACACCUUUUAUCUUGCAGCUUGGCCCAGGGUUGCAGGAAGAUGUACACUACUUAAGCCAAAUUGGUGAACAGUUUAACAGCAAAAGGAUUUUCACAAAGGAGUUUUGUGGCUGUAAGCCUUAGGUUAUACUGCUCAUAGAGGGAGAGCCAAAGAAAUAGGGAUAUAGGAAAGGAAAAGAGAAGGAAAGAAAGAGAACGAAAGGUCAGCCCGCGGCCUUUGUCUGCGGCGCCUGGUCUGGUGUUGGGAUGUAAAUCGCGAUUCACCUUCUCCUGAGUGCCCCAUUUACUGCUGCUGGACAUGAUGUCCAUACAGGAUUGUUUUGGGUCUGACAAUGGCCCAUCACUGCGGGAUGAGCUGUUGUUGCCAUAAUGUCUGAGACAUAAUUCUGUUGAGUCUCUGGCACAGGAGGCAGAUGGUGCUUGUCUGAAAAGCCCCCAGUUUCAGUCACUACAAGUGUUCAUGGUUUUUUCAACCUGAACCUUCUCUCAUCCUAAGGGGAACUGUCAACUGACAAUCUUGGUGAGAUGUGUUACUUGAAAAAUCGUGUCAUCGGUGAAAUCAAGUGCUUCCUCUUAUGAAAUCUCCGUAUAUAAGCAAAUUAAAGGUAUCUGGACAAAACAAAACAAGAUCCUUAAGAGACCCUCCUGUCUCAGUCAUUCUGGCCGGGGUCUGAGUGGCUGGGACGUGAGGGUGGGCAGGAUCAGGGCAGUGAGCAGCAGGGACGCACCACAGGUCACUCAUCCUUUCUUCUCAGGGCAGCCCCACACUGUGAUCAUCUGCAGUGCUCAAAAUCCUGUGAUUUGACAGCACAAAUUCUUCUAUCAUGGAAUAGUUCCCACAUCUGGUAUCUUCUCAGCCAGGAACAAGACGGAUUUAGGGAGGGGAUUGCAGAUGUAAAGCGUUACCCGCAGGGUGUGCAAAGAAGAUGGCUCAGAGCCAUGAACUGGUUGAAAACGGGAGUCCCCGGUCUGCAGUGGGUGUCGCUAAAUGCUCGAGCCAACUUUCCUUUCCAUAGUCAGGCCCACCUGGGAGCUGGCUGAAUGCAUGAACUGGCUUUAAAGAACACGUGAAUUUAUCUGAGUCUCCUCUGGAUUUUUCUCCCCGAUAGCUUUAUGCUACCAGAUUUGUUGCAUUAAUAUGUUACUUACAUAUUUCCCUGAAGACCCACCUCUAAAGCCUCUUGUCAUGUUACUUACCUGACACAUCCAAUGCCUAUAAAUCUCAGUAUCAGUGUGCAUCUUUGUACAGCACAAACAUGCACGUGUGUGUAUGCACAUAAAUGUAUGUAAUUUGGGUCGAAUCUUUAUUUGCUAUAUGUAGGUAUGAUAACACAACUUGCAGAAAAACACAACCUACCAAUGAAAACAAGUUUCAGCUCUGGCCGUGGAUGUUUUACCCAGAUGAGUGUUGAUUUUUCACCGUUACCACCGGCGUCCUUCAGAACUCACAACGGUAUCGGGACUAUAUUUGGUUUUUCAUAAUAUGUUUGUAUACUUAAUGUAUAAUACAUUAAUAAAGUGCACAUUAUACAGUAGUUUAAGAAACAGAAUAAUUUCAGUGAAGAUUUCUGGAAGUAAAUGAAGGUAUAACUGAUAUAUUUUAUAGCUGCCCAAUUUGUAGUUAAUAUGGUCAGAAACGUGUAAUUACUGCAAUCAUGUUGUGUGUAGAUGUGCGGUUGUAUACCUUGCUGAUACCUGCAUCCUAUUGUGGGUUUUUUCAUAAGAAUUGAUAUGGGAAAAUGAAACCAGGUGGUGUUUCUUCCACUUCCCCUCCCGUAUUGUUGCCCGUUUGCUUUUUGGAAACUGUUUCUGAUAAUACAGCAAGUUCUUAGUUUGAAUUCCCUGUAGAUCGCUGAAAUGAAACACACAUACAGCUUCAUUUCAGCAGGUUAAUAAAAAUGAACGAAAGAUGUCAGGAGUCCCUGAGGGAAGUUUAUCACAGGAACUACUUGUGAGACCAUUUAAAACUAUUUAUUGUGUGCUAACUACACUUAUUUUGUCCAAUUAACAGCUAAUUGCGCGCUUUCUUAAAGCUAUCUUUCUGUGAAGUUAUGGCUACUUACAGAAAUAAUCCAAAGCGACACUGAUCCGAUGUCCUUGAGUCAAAAAACCCUCACAAGGUGUGUGUUGUACUAAGCAUGACUACAAACAUACAGGCAUUUAUUAAUAAGGGUGACCUUCAUAUUUACUAAUUUUUAUGGGUGAAUUACCCUCACAAAGUGACACGAUGCAUUAAUUCUGUAAUGCAGAAUUGUUACUUUUAGUCCAUUCCUCGCGUUCCCAGCAGAACUGUCUGUUCUGUGCUGUCCUUGCUGCGGGUCGGUUGCUGUGCUGUCUGGCUCAGGAGACUCACUGGGUGAAAAGUCGCAUGUCAAUUUUAUGGACGUUCUUUCUAGAAACUCUGUGGGGUUUUUAUUAAUGUGAGGGCCUAGAGGAAUUAGAGUUGCACUGACGUAUUGAUAAAACACACUUGAUUCCAUAGCUGUAUUUUUAGUUCAUUCUUUUGUGAAGCUUUCUUAUGAGCUGUUGGCAUUUGAGCUGUGUGUCCUGUCUGAUAGCAGAUUUUGACCUGAGAUGAUGGUAUAAGAUUGGAAUUUGCUUCAAAUAAAUGUAUACAUUUGCUUGUAUCUGGCAGAGAUGAUUGUGUUCUAUGAGUAACCUCCUGUCCUGAUGUAUGGAGUAUGAACAUUAUGAGCUUGCUUUAUUUCUCCAAGUUGUGUAAAGUGACAGUAUGUACUGUGCAACAAUUAAAUCAGUGUCUCAUUUCAGAAUAGUGUGUAAACUACUGAACAAGACCCGUGAGCGUGUUCAUUGUCUGCACAAGCUCUGACACUGUGUCGGUGCGGGAUUUGCUGCUCUCAUUGCCCACGCCUGCACUCUGUCUGAUCAUGGCUUUAGGUGAGUGUCUCUGGUCUGCCAUUGCUGGUUUUGUGCUGAUCUUCUUUCUGUCUCCGUUCACUGGAAUUACAUCCUCCAUUCAGCCGCUGCAGGUCUGCACAGCCGGUCUUUUCAAGACAGCCGGUUUAAGCGUAUUCUAUUCAAAAGAAAGAAGUCUUUGAGCACUCUGAGUUUACAGCUCUGGUCCGAAAGGGCACAAGUUAAUACAGGUGGAUCAACAUUAUGUAAAUGCCAUAGAACAAAAUGUGGCUACUGUUGUUUAUCUGCUACAAUUUCUGUAGCAUUUUUAGACAAUUUUAGAAGUAGACUCUUGUAAGGAAUCCAGGAUCUUGUGCUUACCUGCGUAUUGCUCCUUCUGCACAUUGUCUUCGAUUAAUGCUGACCUGAGGUAUUUAUCUGCAGUACAACACGGUGUAGAUACUAACUCAGGUCUGGAGGCCAUCUCAGGAGAUGGAUUAGCUCAUCAUUACAUCAAAAAUAGAAGGAAUGCUACUUCCUUGUUUCUUGUGCUUAUGUAAUAAGGCACAUAUGUGGUAGUAACAGAGUUCGUGACCCCUGUACUUCAUAUGCAUAUAGCAGUGUAAAAAUAAUUUAUUAAAAUUAAACUGGCUUUCAGGUUUUCUGUUUUAAUUACUUUUCCAACUUGACUCUUUGUGUGGAGCCCGACCCCACUCACUGUCCCGCGACGGGGGACUCCAGACAAGGGGACGCAGACGCGGGGGCGGCUGUACAGUGGAACUCAGCGGACUUGAGAACCGCUCAGCUGGGUGAGGAUCAGACGCGUACAAAGCAGCUUUGCUUCUUAAAUGGCGAGGAUGACGUGCUUUGGUUUGGAAGACAUCAGAUUUGGGAUGUUAAGGAAGCUGUAACUACUUUGGUGUUUCCUUCUCCCCGCAGUCGCAUUUCUGGUUCUGUUUGCAGAGUUGUGCUCCUCUCCCGCACCAGGUGCUGAUCGUGGGGUCAGCGUGAGGGGGGGCAGGGAGGGCGGGGGGUCCGUGGACUUGAAUAAGUUUUGUUUGGGGUUUUUUAAACGCCUCUGUUGACACGUUGUAUAAAAACUGAUCGCUGCAGUGCUGGUGAAUGAAGAGGAGGAUGAGCAACAGACUUUAGAAAUUGUUUGGGUUUUGGUUUAUUGAAAAAUUAUUAUUUAACUCAAAAAGCAAUAAGAUCUUGCAGUGGUCUUCUAAUACUUAGUGGUAGCUUUUUAAUAUACUGGUUUGGAACCUUGAGAUUAUAUUUGAUAUGAAGUGGCUGUUCCAUUGUGGAAUAUUGCAGGAGUAAACUCUUGCAUUUCGGCAUUCCUGGCAGAUCUGCAGCUUGAUAAAGACCUCAGGCUGUUUAGUUUAAUCAGACUUUUGUACAUCCCACCUUCACUGUUCAAAGCACCGGCUGCCAAUGUGUUUUCUAGCGUUGUCAAUUCUUUCUGAACAAAGACAGCAGAGGUAGCAGCUCUACUAGUAUCAUCUGUUUUACUUAAACAUGGAUAUUUACAGGAACUUUAACUUGAAAGCUCAGAAAGCUGUGGUAUAUCUUUGUAAUGUUUAUAAAUUCUUAUGCAGAUAUUCUUAUGCCAGCGAGCACGGAACGUUUUUGAGUGUGAAUUGCUGUGCGGUUAGAAGGAAGAAAGAUGUGUGAGCUGCAGCAGCACGAAGGCUGCAGCCGUGUAAGCCCGGGGUGCAAACGGCACGAAACGGGCUGCAGCGGCGGAGCCCUCGGUCCCGGGCCGUCCCGGGCGGGCGCAGCCCGAGCGCUCCCGGCCCCGCUGCCGCUGACCCGCCGGGGCCGGGGCCGCGCUGCGGGCGGACAGCACCGCUCUGCGGCCGCCGGCGGCUUCGGGCCGGGGGGGGGCGGGGCCCGGUGGCGGGCGCGGACGGGAUUGGCUCCUGCGCGGGAUGGGCGGGGCCACGCUGCAGAAGCGCGCGGGCCGAGGAGCGCGUGCCGCCGGUGCGGCGGCGGGAGCAGCGCGCGAGGAGCGGCGGGGCCGGCGCACCUGACUGAAUGGAGAAGCAAGUGGACGGGAAGUUCCUGUGCCACACACAGAUCACAUUUAUUACUCUUGGCUUUAGAGAUGUGGAGAACCAAACCAUUCCCAUUGUGCCUUGAAGCAGCCUGUGCUCAUGCGCUUCUCCAGGGAGAAGGCGGAAUGGCAGUGACUGGCCACGUUAAGCCACAGGGUGCACACUCUGCAGCUGUCAAGCCCAGCUCUGCGUCAGCUCACACCUGCAAUUUUGCACCGCACACGCGGAUUUGAGUUGUCGCUGGUUGUCGCAGCGUUUGGCUUUGGUGGAGCAGCGUGCGAAGGAAAAAGGAAGCAGAGGAAGACGGUGAGCCUGCGAGGAAGAGUGUAGCGAGUCUGGCGUGGACUCACGGUGGAGCAGCGUGCAAAGGAAAAGCAAGGAAGGAGGCGAACCUGUGAGGAAGAGCGAUUGAGAAAGAGGGUUGGAUCGCACCUGCCGGUCAGGAGGGAUCAGGGAAGAAGACACCGGUGGUGGAACCGCAGGUCAGGAGAGCUCAAGGAAGGAGAAAGGUGAUUGUGGCCGUAUGGGUUUUUCUAGCUCACGCACCAAUGAAAACAGUUUGGAUAAUAAAAGAAAUGUAUGCAAAACCGAUAAGUAAAGGCAGAGAAUGUUUAUAUGCUGUGUAUGGGAUAGACCUGAAGGUAUAUUUAUUCCUACAACAAAGGAGAAUUCGCAAUGGUAAUUAACUGAGGAUGUGAAUUUCCAGAUUGCAUUGGCAACAUACGUAGGGAACAUACCAGUUUAUUACCCUCAACAUAAACUGUGGGCUGAAACUGGUAAUUUACCGUUGUGCAGCAAAUGCUCCUGUCAGCAACGACCAGUAAGCGACAAGACUGUAAUUACUGAUGGCUCUGGUCGCUCACGUGAAGUUGUAAUGACGUGGCUGAACUCAGAUACCCAGUGCUGCAAACACAAGGUAGAGAAAGAGACCAAGGGUCAAACAAGUUCUGGAGCUGACAGCUGUUGGGAUCGCUGUGAGGUGUUCUGUAACAAACCUUUGAAUGUUGGAACUGGCUCGUAUUAUGCAGCUGGCGUACUUAACCACCUGGAAGCUUCUUUUCUUAAGGAAGAGGACAAUCCUCUUUCGAUGGCUGAAUUGAGAAUGCUAUGGUUUCUAAUCAAUCACAGACAUCAUGGUUAUUAUGCAAUGCACACCCGCUCUCGCACGGCCCUUCCAGGACCUCUUGCGGAAGGCAAUAGGAGGGCCGAUGCACAAGCUGUGCUGCUCACUGUGCCUGAAGCCUUGCAGCAAGCUAAAUGAUCACAUGAAUGCUUUCACCAGAGUGCAAAGUCGUUAAAAUGACAAUUUCAAAUUACAGUGGAUCAGGCCAGGAGCGUUCUUAUGUCCUGCCCUGAUUGCCAGCAGUCGGCACCCGUGCCGUGCACAGAGGGUGUGAAUCCAGGAGGGAUUGCUGCCAGUGAAGUACGGCCAGCUGGGGUAACGCGUUGUUCUGAAUGGGGUAAAUACGUACGUGUUUCUGUACGCACUCAUUCCGGAUUUCUCGUUGCUGCUGCACGCUGGUGAAAGGGCACGAGACGUCUGUGACGUUGGUUGACAUGUUCACUGUUUGAGGAGUUCCACGAUCUGUAAAACCAGAGGAAAGCGGAACGCACGCUGGAUUAGAGGAGCGAUCCCCCGAGUGCCCAGCGCGCUGUAAUAGAAGUGCCUGCUGUUUAACACUUUCAAAACAGUGUUAGAGAGUCUGUUUGCCGACUUUCCGGUAUCAUGUUCUGGCGACGAGGAUGGGAUGAUCUGCCUGACCUGCCGUGGUCCCCAGGGUCUCUGGGACCUUGUGCCGGCACCGGGGAGUUCCCGGAAGGGACCACGGAUCCUGGGACCAGCUCGGACGCGGGUGAAACCCCAUCAGUGAGAUGAGGCGCUUUCACUGUCUGGUUGGGCUGGCACGCUGCCUGCGCGAGACGUGGGCGACACGGCGCGUGGGGUCUGCGCGUUCGCGUCUGCGCGUUUGGGUAAACCGGGGAACUUAAAAAGAAAUAAAAAAUUAAAGAGGAAAAUGAGAAAACUAUAAAUAAAAGAAAAAACGAGGGAACAGUAAUUUGGUAAAGGUACCUUUAGUGAUUUUGCUGGUUUUGCCUUAGCGAUUGUAUGAUUGUGUCUUCAGUGAUCUGUUGUUGUUGUUACUUGUGUCUUGGGUGAUUUUAUAGUCCAGUACUUACGGUUCUCCAAUUGUCUGUUAUUGUGAUUGUGAAACAGGUGGUGGUACAAUCGACAGGAGGGAUUUGGAAGAAAUCCCCCUGGGUUGUAUUUUGUGACAUUGGAAAAGGAUCGUUUGACUCUCUGGGGAACAGCAACCAGGGGAAUCUGAUUAAAUAUUGUAAUUAAUGGUGGCCACUGUAAAUAAUGUUAACAUGCUGCACAGGUCUAGGUGGGUAUACUUUGAGAUGUGUAGUAUAGUACCGCACUACAUGUAAUAUAUAAUAAGAUACAUAUUUUAAAUCACAUAUUGCUUAUUACAUAAUGUGUAUUACACAAUACAUAAUGUUACAUAUGCAUUGUAUUUAUCCCCGUCAGAUGCAUUUGUUUUGAAAAAGGAUAAUCAGAAGUUGAAACCAGUAAAAGGUUUGUUGAAGAGCAGCUAUUGGUGUAGAGUACACAGAGCACACGGGAUCAGAACUGUCCCGCGGUCGGUCCAGGGUGGCAUCCUGAUGUCCUUACAUCGGGGACAGGCUGCAUUGCUAUGGACGGUGCAUUUCAUACGGGAUUAGACACGCUGUGCCUAAAGCUGUAAAUACGCCAAAACCUUCUGAGAUUAAACAGGAUCGUGAGGCGUCUCCCACUGAGUUCUUACACCGUCUUAAACCGACAGCUCAGAAAUAUAUUAAUAUAGGUCCUGACUUGGAGAACAGAGAAACAGAAUUCUUAGUUGACUGGGAGCUCACUAUUCAGUGUUAAACACUGUGCAGGGAAUAUUAAGUAGCGAUUCUGUAGCAGUUAUGGGUGCCGUGAAAAGUGCGAAACACGGCCCUUUAACCCGCUGCUUAGAAUGUUUGUGUGUGGAGCGUGGUACUUAUUGAUUGUGUGCCGUGUGUCUUCUCUUGUGCACAACGAAUGGUUGACAGAAGCUUUAGUGGUGCAGUGGCUGUGCAGUUACACGCUGCUGUGGCUGCAGUUGUUGAACAAGGGGGAGAUGUGGCAGGGUUGUGACAUCAGUUGUGAGAAACUGCAAGAGUCACAGCGUGAGAACAAGCGCUGGUGGAACAACACAAGCAGCAAGGACUGUGUGGGACAUGAACCAUCAGGGACAGAGGGAUUGAUACGGGAUCGGUACAUCAGGGACAGGGAUUGAUACGGGAUCGGUACAUCAGGGACAGGGAUUGAUACGGGAUCGGUACAUCAGGGACAGGGAUUGAUACGGGAUCGGUACAUCAGGGACAGGGAUUGAUACGGGAUCGGUACAUCAGGGACAGAGGGAUUGAUACGGGAUUGGGACAUCAGGGACAGGGAUUGAUACGGGAUCGGUACAUCAGGGACAGGGAUUGAUACGGGAUUGGUACAUCGGGAACAGAGGGAUUGAUACGGGAUCGGUACAUCAGGGACAGAGGGACUGAUACGGGAUCGGUACAUCAGGGACAGGGGGAUUGAUACGGGAUUGGUACAUCGGGAACAGAGGGACUGAUACGGGAUCGGUACAUCAGGGACAGGGGGAUUGAUACGGGAUUGGUACAUCGGGAACAGAGGGAUUGAUACGGGAUCGGUACAUCAGGGACAGAGGGAUUGAUACGGGAUCGGUACAUCAGGGACAGGGGGAUUGAUACGGGAUUGGUACAUCGGGAACAGAGGGACUGAUACGGGAUCGGUACAUCAGGGACAGGGGGAUUGAUACGGGAUUGGUACAUCGGGAACAGAGGGACUGAUACGGGAUCGGUACAUCAGGGACAGAGGGACUGAUACGGGAUCGGUACAUCAGGGACAGAGGGACUGAUACGGGAUCGGUACAUCAGGGACAGAGGGAUUGAUACGGGAUCGGUACAUCAGGGACAGGGAUUGAUACAGGAUCGGUACAUCAGGGACAGGGAUUGAUACGGGAUUGGUACAUCAGGGACAGGGAUUGAUACGGGAUCGGUACAUCAGGGACAGGGAUUGAUACGGGAUCGGUACAUCAGGGACAGAGGGAUUGAUACGGGAUUGGUACAUCAGGGACAAAGGGACUGAUAAACAGGGACAGGGGUUGAUACGGGAUUGGUACAUGAGGGACAGAGGUUCGUGAUGUUUCAAAUGCAAACCUGAGUUUGUAUUAAAUGUCUCUUCGCAUCUCAAAGAGUGUCUGUGCCUCACUUGCUACACCCCUUUAUCUGUUUCCCAAAUUGCGAUUUAAACUGUAUUUACCAUUGUAAAAAUAAAGCUUUCCCCCCUUAAUUUUUGUCACAUAUUGUAAUUAGAAUUAAUAGAGAUAUUGAAGCCCGUCCUAGCUGAACUGGAGAAAAGACAGCAGCCAUGUGUAUUUUUAAAUAAAGAGUAAAUCAAGUCUGCUAGCUCGUUA